AUUGAACGCUGGCGGCAGGCCUAACACAUGAAAGUCGAACGAGUUGCGGACGGGUGAGUAAUGUCUGGGAAACUUCCUGAUGGCGGGGGAUAACUACUGGAAACGUUAGCUAAUACCGCAUACCAUCGGAUGUGCCCAUAUGGGAUUAGCUAGUAGGUGGGGUAAAGUCUCACCUAGGCGACGAUCCCUAGCUGGUCUGAGAGGAUGACCAGCAACACUGGAACUGAUACACGGUCCAGACUCCUACGGGAGGCAGCAGUGGGGAAUAUUGCACAAUGGGCGAAAUCCUGAUGCAGCCAUGCCGCGUGUAUGAAGAAGGCCUUCGGGUUGUAAAGUACUUUCAGCGGGGAGGCGUUACCCGCAGAAGAAGCACCGGCUAACUCCGUGCCAGCCGCCGCGGUAAUUC
rnacentral:rRNA from 1 species